UGCAGCCCGCUGUGGUUAAUAUCUCUGUGGAUUGGACCCUUCCAGAUGGCAUUACUGUUGACACACUGUCUCCACCCAUCAAUAUGCUCUUCCAGGGUCAAAGGUCACUCAUUUAUGCCCACCUUAAAGGAAAGAGUUCAGGAGGCUCUGAGGGAACAGUGACAGUCAAAUACAGUCUUAAUGAUCAACCAGUAACAAACCAGCUCCACUUCUGCCUCAAACCAACUGAGAAAACAGGGUUGGCCAUUC